rnacentral:tRNA from 3 species
GGCCAAGUAGCUCAGUUGGUAGAGCAGCGGACUGAAAAUCCGUGUGUCGGUGGUUCAAUUCCGCCCUUGGCCACCA